CUCAGCCCGUCUGUACCCAGGCGCUCAUUAGAACAGCGUGUUGCUCCACACCGCCUUGUGGUGUUUGUUACCGCGCUCUUGGGGUUCGAACCGAUACAGCAGGCUUGCAGCUAUUUCAUUGGUUUAAACUUUUAUUUUUUUAUUGCAAAUGAAAAUUACUAUCAACUAUCAUUACAAAGCUGUAGAAUAUGAAGUUCGAAGGAAAACGCUGAAUCAGUAUACAAAAGCGUCUCAAUCAGACUCAUCCAUUUUGAAGCAAUUCCUCUGCCAUUUUGCCACCUCCUCUCAAAUUCAGCGACUUACCAGAAAGCCUGUGUGGAUGAAUAUUGCUUCCAGGAGUCACAUAAUUACAUCUAAAAUCAUAGAAUGUUAGAGCUGGAGGAAUCUUUAGAGUUUGCCCAAGGUCCUUCACCAGCAUUUUACAGAAGAUUCUUCGAUUUAACUGCUCUUAAUUACAUCCCGUUGCACUGGCCCCAUCAAGUUGCUUUAAACAGCCCUUCUAGUCAACAGAGCUGCAGAGAAAAACCUUGAGCUGUCACACUUCAUUUGUGAGAACACUCCAGAGCUUCCUCCAGCUGCUGAUUCCAAACCAGCUUCAC
rnacentral:lncRNA from 1 species